rnacentral:misc_RNA from 1 species
GAUGAAGAACGUAGCGAAAUGCGAUAAGUAAUGUGAAUUGCAGAAUUCAGUGAAUCAUCGAAUCUUUGAACGCACAUUGCGCCCGCCAGCACUCUGGCGGGCAUGCCUGUUCGAGCGUCAUUUCAACCAUCAAGCCCCCAGGGGCUUGUGCUGGGGCCCUGCGGCUGCCCGCAGGCCCUGAAAAUCAGUGGCGGGCUCGCUAUCACACCGAGUGCAGUAGUUUACUCUUUGCUCAGGACGUGUAGCGGGUUCCGGCCGUGAAACCCCCCAAUUUUCAAGGUUGACCUCGGAUCAGGUAGGAAUACCCGCUGAACUUAAGCAUAUCAAUAAGCGGAGGA